GGGCCCGUGGCGCAGCUUGGAUAGUUUAAACCAAAAAGCGCGUCGGCCUUCUAAGCCGAAGAUCCUGGGUUCAAAUCCCAGCGGGCCCGCCA
rnacentral:tRNA from 1 species